rnacentral:snRNA from 1 species
GUGCUCGCUUCGGCAGCACAUAUGCUAAAAUUGGAACGAUACAGAGAAGACUAGCAUGGCCCCUGCGCAAGGAAAAAUAAAAUAAGAUCUGAUUUA